rnacentral:rRNA from 1 species
GACGAACGCUGGCGGCGUGCUUAACACAUGCAAGUCGAACGGAAAGGCCCUGCUUUUGUGGGGUGCUCGAGUGGCGAACGGGUGAGUAACACGUGAGUAACCUGCCCUUGACUUUGGGAUAACUUCAGGAAACUGGGGCUAAUACCGGAUAGGAUCUCCUGCUGCAUGGUGGGGGUUGGAAAGUUUCGGCGGUUGGGGAUGGACUCGCGGCUUAUCAGCUUGUUGGUGGGGUAGUGGCUGACCAAGGCUUUGACGGGUAGCCGGCCUGAGAGGGUGACCGGCCACAUGGGGACUGAGAUAGGGCCCAGACUCCUACGGGAGGCAGCAGUGGGGAAUAUUGCACAAUGGGCGGAAGCCUGAUGCAGCAACGCCGCGUUCGGGAUGACGGCCUUCGGGUUGUAAACCGCUUUCGCCUGUGACGAAGCGUGAGUGACGGUAAUGGGUAAAGAAGCACCGGCUAACUACGUG